rnacentral:rRNA from 1 species
AUGGGGCUGGCAGAGAUGGUCAUGCCAAUGACGGUGUCGAACGAGAGCAUGUUCCGACCAUCCAGCUUCAGUUACGAGAAGAUGUCCGAGAGCUGCCUUGCGGGCUACAGAGUUCGUCCAAGGAUGCACUGGAUCACUUCUGAAUAUGGUGGCCAUAAAAUUGACAAGGUUCUCGAGAGGUUUGGGAGCAACAUCAUCUUCUCCAACGGGAUGCGACACCCGUGGAGUGGAGGCGGGUACUCAAGAACAUAUCAUCCACCAUCAUUGCUCUUGUCACGGAGAAAGGGGCCCAUCAGUUGGACUUGA